rnacentral:rRNA from 1 species
AGCGAACGCUGGCGGCAGGCCUAACACAUGCAAGUCGAGCGCCGUAGCAAUACGGAGCGGCAGACGGGAGAGUAACACGUGGGAACGUGCCCUUUGGUUCGGAACAACCCGGGGAAACUUGGGCUAAUACCGGAUAAGCCCUUACGGGGAAAGAUUUAUCGCCGAAGGAUCGGCCCGCGUCUGAUUAGCUAGUUGGUGGGGUAACGGCCCACCAAGGCGACGAUCAGUAGCUGGUCUGAGAGGAUGAUCAGCCUCACUGGGACUGAGACACGGCCCAGACUCCUACGGGAGGCAGCAGUGGGGAAUAUUGGACAAUGGGCGCAAGCCUGAUCCAGCCAUGCCGCGUGGGUGAUGAAGGCCCUAGGGUUGUAAAGCCCUUUCGGCGGGGAAGAUAAUGACGGUACCCGCAGAAGAAGCCCCGGCUAACUUCGUGCCAGCAGCCGCCGCCGUAA